rnacentral:rRNA from 1 species
CGGAGGGUGCAAGCGUUAUCCGGAUUCACUGGGUUUAAAGGGUGCGUAGGUGGGCAGGUAAGUCAGUGGUGAAAUCUCCGGGCUUAACUCGGAAACUGCCAUUGAUACUAUCUGUCUUGAAUACCGUGGAGGUCAGCGGAAUAUGUCAUGUAGCGGUGAAAUGCUUAGAUAUGACAUAGAACACCAAUUGCGAAGGCAGCUGGCUACACGAAUAUUGACACUGAAUGCACGAAAGCGUGGGGGAUCAAACAGGAUUAGAUACCCUGGUAGUCCACGCCCUAAACGAUGGAUACUCGACAUACGCGAUACACAGUGUGUGUCUGAGCGAAAGCAUUAAGUAUCCCACCUGGGAGUACGAUCGCAAGAUUG